rnacentral:rRNA from 1 species
GAUGAACGCUGGCGGCGUGCCUAAUACAUGCAAGUCGAGCGAACAGAUAAGGAGCUUGCUCCUUUGACGUUAGCGGCGGACGGGUGAGUAACACGUGGGUAACCUACCUAUAAGACUGGGAUAACUUCGGGAAACCGGAGCUAAUACCGGAUAACAUUUGGAACCGCAUGGUUCUAAAGUGAAUGAUGGUUUUGCUAUCACUUAUAGAUGGACCCGCGCCGUAUUAGCUAGUUGGUAAGGUAACGGCUUACCAAGGCGACGAUGCGUAGCCGACCUGAGAGGGUGAUCGGCCACACGGGAACUGAGACACGGUCCAGACUCCUACGGGAGGCAGCAGUAGGGAAUCUUCCGCAAUGGGCGAAAGCCUGACGGAGCAACGCCGCGUGAGUGAUGAAGGGUUUCGGCUCGUAAAACUCUGUUAUUAGGGAAGAACAAAUGUGUAAGUAACUGUGCACGUCUUGACGGUACCUAAUCAGAAAGCCACGGCUAACUACGUG